rfam:Pseudomonas chlororaphis subsp. aureofaciens 30-84 chromosome, whole genome shotgun sequence.
UUAGCCCCAUCGCAACAGGGCAAGAGCAGGAGGCCAGUCAUGUUUUUCGACAAUGUGGUGAUCGCCGGAGUGCUGACUGUCGGCCUCAUGGUUCUGUUUUUCGCCGGGUUUGGAUUUUUCAUCUGGAAAGAUGCGCAUAAACGCAAAAAACCUUAAGUCUUUCCGGUAACGAGCACGCAAGGCAUUUUGGGCAACUUCGGUUGCCCUUUUUUUUG